UCCGAAUUGGUGUAGUGGCUAACAUUUGACGCUCUCAUAAUGAGAAAUCAGUGGAACCGUCAAGCCCGGGGUUCGAUUCCCCGAUUCGGAG
rnacentral:tRNA from 1 species